rnacentral:lncRNA from 1 species
GGCGGGCUCGGGGUGGGUUGCCGCGGUGUCUGCACCGCUCCCCGCGGGCCCCUGGUCUGGGAAGUUUGUUCUCUUCUUCAGGGAGCUUAUGCGACAAGCCGGAUUUCACAGGCCCUACAAAGCGCGUUGAGUCCCCUCGAAGCUCUCGGCGCCACCAGAACCCGCUGGAGGGCUGCCUGGAGGUGGUGAUGGAUCCAAGGGGACACAGCGGAGUCAGCGGCCGGGAUGGAGGCGACGGAGAGCACGUCUGGUCGCCUGAGUCCCAUCCCACAGAAAAGCCCCUGGUGAAAAACUUCUCUGGUGGGUGAAGAUCAGUGAUGGCCCGAAAUCAUCUCGGUGUUCUGAAGCCUAGGAAAGCUGUUGGCCUGGCACCGGGGCCACUUCCUACAAGAACUGGCAGCCUCAGGCGGAAUGUUUGAGGGCAGCUGACCUGAACAGACUGAUCCGUCUGCCUGGAAGAUUCUUCUAACUCAGCUGGAGAAUGGCUGCUCAAUAAUGCAGGUAUUUUUCUGUAUUUACUUGUCACUUGCUACCCACGUGGAUGUUAAAGUGACCAGGAGCCACACCUGAGGCCUCUCGUGAAUGAACGGAGCUACUUCUGUGUCAGGUUUUGGGGUUCCACAGGCAUGAGCAGGCCAUGGGUCAGGCUGGUUCUGGCAUGGCUGUGGUCGGCCCACUUCCACAGACCACCACCGCAUGCUGUCCAUCUAUCCACCGGAGAUGGCCGCAGUGGGGACCAGGACAAGAGGACAAAUGAGGCCCUGUGUGUCUGAACACUGACCACUUGUAAAUCAGCUGCUAGAUACAAUGUGCUUAUACACAACAUGCUUAUCCUCCUGCCUUGGAAAAUACGUUUUCAAAUGAGAGAAAUCACAAAAUAUGUGCAAAGCAUGAUUUGCAUGGAAGUCAUCAACAUAUCAAAAGAGGACCAGAUUUAAUGAUUCUUAUGUACGUCUGGCAUUCUAUUCUGAGGGGGUAGCAAUGUUAGGAUUUGCAAAAAAAUACAGACAGAAUAAUUCAUAAAGUACAUAUUUAUCCUAUGAAAUAUUUUGCCUUUAAAAAAAUAGAAUCACUCCAUAUCCUGUAGCAAUCAAGAUUUUCACAUAAUUUGUGUUUUGACAAUAGUGGUUCAAAAAUUAAAAAGUGAUCCUUCUCAAAGCAUACAUUUAAAUAUAUCUUCAUCAAAAAUUGAUAGCAAAUCAAAUGUAAGAAAUAAAAAUAACUAAAUUAUUUGUGAUUUUCCAAAAAAAUUUUUCUUCUAGCAUAUUCAAAGCUUUCUAUUAAAAUUUAA